UGGGGAAGACCCCUUUCGCCUUGAACCUAUGAAGUUUAUUGAAAGAUCACUCAGGCACCCUUUACAGAGAAUGCAGACAGUGCUACCAGGUAGAGGUGAAACCAAUUACAAGUUUCCAGGACAUGUACAAGGUAUUUUAUAUGUUCUAAGUCACAUGUACACAGCAGCAGGAUAGGUGAUGACAAAAUAAGGGGAACACAGUCAAAAGAAUGAGACAUCUGCAGA